UGGGGAAUAUUGGACAAUGGGGGCAACCCUGAUCCAGCAAUGCCGCGUGUGUGAAGAAGGCCUGCGGGUUGUAAAGCACUUUCAGUAGAGAAGAAAAGCCUAAGGUUAAUAACCUUGAGUCUUGACGUAACCUACAGAAGAAGCACCGGCUAACUCCGUGCCAGCAGCCGCGGUAAUACGGAGGGUGCAAGCGUUAAUCGGAAUUACUGGGCGUAAAGCGCACGUAGGUGGUUUGGUAAGUCGGAUGUGAAAGCCCUGGGCUUAACCUGGGAAUUGCAUUCGAUACUGCUUGACUAGAGUAUGGUAGAGGGAAGUGGAAUUUCCGGUGUAGCGGUGAAAUGCGUAGAUAUCGGAAGGAACACCAGUGGCGAAGGCGACUCCUGGGCCAAUACUGACACUGAGGUGCGAAAGCGUGGGUAGCAAACAGGAUUAGAUACCCUGGUAGUCCACGCCGUAAACGAUGAGACUAGAUG
rnacentral:rRNA from 1 species